UACGUAGGGGGCUAGCGUUGUCCGGAAUCAUUGGGCGUAAAGAGCGUGUGGGCGGUCCGGUAAGUCCGCUGUGAAAGUCGGGGGCUCAACCCUCGAAUGCCGGUGGAUACUGUCGGGCUAGAGUGCGGAAGAGGCGAGUGGAAUUCCUGGUGUAGCGGUGGAAUGCGCAGAUAUCAGGAGGAACACCAACGGCGAAGGCAGCUCGCUGGGACGGUACUGACGCUGAGGCGCGAAAGCGUGGGGAGCGAGCAGG
rnacentral:rRNA from 1 species